rnacentral:rRNA from 1 species
GACGAACGCUGGCGGCGUGCUUAACACAUGCAAGUCGAACGGAAAGGCCCUGCUUUUGUGGGGUGCUCGAGUGGCGAACGGGUGAGUAACACGUGAGUAACCUGCCCUUGACUUUGGGAUAACUUCAGGAAACUGGGGCUAAUACCGGAUAGGGGCUCCUGCUGCAUGGUGGGGGUUGGAAAGUUUCGGCGGUUGGGGAUGGACUCGCGGCUUAUCAGCUUGUUGGUGGGGUAGUGGCUUACCAAGGCUUUGACGGGUAGCCGGCCUGAGAGGGUGACCGGCCACAUUGGGACUGAGAUACGGCCCAGACUCCUACGGGAGGCAGCAGUGGGGAAUAUUGCACAAUGGGCGGAAGCCUGAUGCAGCAACGCCGCGUGCGGGAUGACGGCCUUAGGGUUGUAAACCGCUUUCGCCUGUGACGAAGCGUGAGUGACGGUAAUGGGUAAAGAAGCACCGGCUAACUACGUG